GAUGAACGCUGGCGGCGUGCCUAAUACAUGCAAGUCGAGCGAACAGACGAGGAGCUUGCUCCUCUGACGUUAGCGGCGGACGGGUGAGUAACACGUGGAUAACCUACCUAUAAGACUGGGAUAACUUCGAGAAACCGGAGCUAAUACCGGAUAAUAUAUUGAACCGCAUGGUUCAAUAGUGAAAGACGGUUUUGCUGUCACUUAUAGAUGGAUCCGCGCCGCAUUAGCUAGUUGGUAAGGUAACGGCUUACCAAGGCAACGAUGCGUAGCCGACCUGAGAGGGUGAUCGGCCACACUGGAACUGAGACACGGUCCAGACUCCUAAGGGAGGCAGCAGUAGGGAAUCUUCCGAAAUGGGCGAAAGCUUGACGGAGCAACGCUGCGUGAGUGAUGAAGGUCUUCGGAUCGUAAAACUCUGUUAUUAGGGAAGAACAAAUGUGUAAGUAACUAUGCACGUCUUGACGGUACCUAAUCAGAAAGCCACGGCUAACUACGUG
rnacentral:rRNA from 1 species